GAUGAACGCUGACAGAAUGCUUAACACAUGCAAGUCAACUUGAAUUUGGGUUUUUAACUUAGGUUUGGGUGGCGGACGGGUGAGUAACGCGUAAAGAACUUGCCUCACAGCUAGGGACAACAUUUGGAAACGAAUGCUAAUACCGAAUAUUAUGAUAAUAGGGCAUCCUAUAAUUAUGAAAGCUAUAAGCGCUGUGAGAGAGCUUUGCGUCCCAUUAGCUAGUUGGAGAGGUAACGGCUCACCAAGGCGAUGAUGGGUAGCCGGCCUGAGAGGGUGAUCGGCCACAAGGGGACUGAGACACGGCCCUUACUCCGACGGGAGGCAGCAGUGGGUAAUAUUGGACAAUGGACCGAGAGUCUGAUCCAGCAAUUCUGUGUGCACGAUGAAGUUUUUCGGAAUGUAAAGUGCUUUCAGUUGGGAAGAAACAAAUGACGGUACCAACAGAAGAAGUGACGGCUAAAUACGUG
rnacentral:rRNA from 1 species